UGGGGAAUCUUGGACAAUGGGGGCAACCCUGAUCCAGCCAUGCCGCGUGAGUGAUGAAGGCCUUAGGGUCGUAAAGCUCUUUCGCCUGUGAAGAUAAUGACGGUAGCAGGUAAAGAAACCCCGGCUAACUCCGUGCCAGCAGCCGCGGUAAUACGGAGGGGGUUAGCGUUGUUCGGAAUUACUGGGCGUAAAGCGCACGUAGGCGGACCAGAAAGUUGGGGGUGAAAUCCCGGGGGCUCAACCCCGGAACUGCCUCCAAAACUAUUGGUCUAGAGUUCGAGAGAGGUGAGUGGAAUUCCAAGUGUAGAGGUGAAAUUCGUAGAUAUUUGGAGGAACACCAGUGGCGAAGGCGGCUCACUGGCUCGAUACUGACGCUGAGGUGCGAAAGUGUGGGGAGCAAACAGGAUUAGAUACCCUGGGUAGUCCACACCGUAAAACGAUGAAUGCCAGUCGUCGGGUAGCAUGCUAUUCGGUGACACACCUAACGGAUUAAGCAUUCCGCCUGGGGAGUACGGUCGCAAGAUUAAAACUUAAAGGAAUUG
rnacentral:rRNA from 1 species